ACGUACUUGUACUGAUUGAGAUUUUAACACGAAGUGAGUGGCGAACGGGUGAGUAACACGUGGGUAACCUGCCCAGAAGUAGGGGAUAACACCUGGAAACAGAUGCUAAUACCGUAUAACAGAGAAAACCGCAUGGUUUUCUUUUAAAAGAUGGCUCUGCUAUCACUUCUGGAUGGACCCGCGGCGUAUUAGCUAGUUGGUGAGGUAAAGGCUCACCAAGGCAGUGAUACGUAGCCGACCUGAGAGGGUAAUCGGCCACAUUGGGACUGAGACACGGCCCAGACUCCUACGGGAGGCAGCAGUAGGGAAUCUUCCACAAUGGACGCAAGUCUGAUGGAGCAACGCCGCGUGAGUGAAGAAGGGUUUCGGCUCGUAAAGCUCUGUUGUUAAAGAAGAACGUGGGUAAGAGUAACUGUUUACCCAGUGACGGUAUUUAACCAGAAAGCCACGGCUAACUACGUGCCAGCAGCCGCGGUAAUACGUAGGUGGCAAGCGUUAUCCCGGAUUUAUUGGGCGUAAAGCGAGCGCAGGCGGUCUUUUAAGUCUAAUGUGAAAGCCUUCGGCUCAACCGAAGAAGUGCAUUGGAAACCUGGGAGAC
rnacentral:rRNA from 1 species